GGAGAGCCUCCAGCAUACAACUGCACCUUGGAGUGCAGCAGACGUGGGCUGUGUGUGAGAAAGAAGUAGAAGAGAUCUGGGGUAUAUUUAGGAGUUGUGAGGAGACCACCAUGGUUUGAAUGAUUCAACAGGGGAGAAGUAGGAAUUUGGACUUCAGAAUAAGCCUACAUUAGAAGAAAAAGGUAUCAAGUAUCUGAAUAACCACACUCUGAGACUCAUUUUACUUACUGAAAACUUAAAGAGCGGUUUAUGUCAGUUGAAAGUUGACAAUAUGCAGAGAACUCUGAAGAGAAGUAAGAAGUACCCAGUAUGAUGCUCUGAUGCAUGGAUAACUGGCUUCAUGAAUAAGAUGAAGACGCUGACGGCACCUACCUCAUUGGAUUUUUUUGAGGGGAGAAUUAUUUCAUUAGUUUGUAUUUACUUUUCAACUCCCAUCUCAAAACAAAAGGGGCCAGAUAGACACAGGAGGGGAUCCAGGUUGAAUCCACAGUCAGGAU